rnacentral:lncRNA from 10 species
CCUGUAGCUGGGCACAGUAGGAAGAAGCAUUCUCAUCAUGGCCACUUAGCUUGCUCGAGAUUACACAGAACCAUGCCUCUGGUUUCCUGGUACAGUGCUCCGGCAGGUGACGGAUGCUCCUGGGUGACAUAUCACGGAUCUCUCUGAGAAUUUUCAAAUUUGGUGUCACUGAAGCCAAAUGAGCACAUGAAAGGAUGCUUGACGUCACUGGUCAGAGAACUAUGAAUAAACCACAGUGAGAUACUACUACAUGUCUGUUAGAAUGGCUAAAAUUAAAGAUUAAGACUGGCCAUAGCAAGUGUUAACGAGAACAUGGAGCAACUGAAAUUCUCAUGUAUUUUCAAUGGGAAUGUAAAAUGGUACAGCAGUUUGGCAGUUUAUUAUAAAGCUAAUGUAUACUUACUGUGUGACACAACAAUGCCACUUUGGGGUUUUUAUGUCUCCCCUCCCCUGCCCCCAACCCAAAAUAAAAACAUGUCUGCUGAAAUAA